rnacentral:rRNA from 1 species
GUCCUAAGGUAGCGAAAUUCCUUGUCGGGUGAGUUCCGACCCGCACGAAUGGCAUAAUGAUGUGGAGACUGUCUUAACUAUGUACUCGGCGAAAAUGCAAGUGUCGUGAAGAUGCGACGUACCCGCAACUAGACGAAAAGACCCCGUGAAGCUUUACUAUAGCUUGAUAUUGAUAAAUUGCUCCAUAUGUUCAGCAUAGGUGGGACCCUUCGGGGGCCAGUGAGAUACCACCCUUGUGUUGCGAUUUAUCUAACCGUUCUCCCUGAAUCGGGAGAAUAGGACAGUAUCUGGUGGGUAGUUUAACUGGGGCGGUUGCCUCCCAAAUUGUAACGGAGGCGUCUACAAAGGUUGGCUUGGUCCGGAUGGAAAUCGGACUGGACGUGUAAACGCAAAAGCCAGCUUUACUGCAAGGGCUACAACCCGAGCAGUUGCGAAAGCAGAGGUUAGUGAUCCGACCGUACGAUAUAGGACGGCGGAAGCUCAACGGAUAAAAGCUACUCCGGGGAUAACAGGCUGAUCGCGCCCAAGCGUCCAUAGCGACGGCGCGGUUUGGCACCUUAACAUUAUCGGGGUGCACAAACAGUGAUGUUUUUCCCAAUUACUUUUCGUCAAAGUAAAUACAAAUGUAUUAUUAGAUAGGUUAAAAAGAGAUACAAAAUCGGCUUAUAACGGAGAACCCGUAGUGACUGACAACAGUUAACCGGCAACCCCGUGGGAAGUCAUCCCUAAAAAGAUUGACCCCGUAACGACUGACCCGAAAGGGGAGACUUGCGAUGUAAUCAUCCAGGUAACACGCCGACGCUUACUAGUCAAACUGAGAUUAUGCAGGUCACGAUCUAGCAAUAGAUUCUGCUACCAUCCAGAGUAAGAUGAAGAUAUAGUCUGCGCCAUACGAAAUUAUGGAAUCAAGUACGAUGUCGGCUCAUCGCAUCCUGGGGCUGGAGAAGGUCCCAAGGGUUUGGCUGUUCGCCAAUUAAAGCGGUACGCGAGCUGGGUUCAGAACGUCGUGAGACAGUUCGGUCUCCUAUCUGUUGUGGGCGCCGAAUGUUGAAAGAGCCCAUCCCUAGUACGAGAGGACCGGGAUGGACGAACCUCUUGUGUACCAGUUGUCCUGCCAAGGGCAUAGCUGGGUAGCGAAGUUCGGUGCAGAUAAGCGCUGAAAGCAUCUAAGCGCGAAGCUGUUCUUAAGAUUAACAUUCAUUUGAGACCCCUUGUAGACUACGAGGUUGAUAGGCACUAGGUGGAAACGCUAACGCGUGUAGCCGAGGUGUACUAAUUGGUCGAGCACACUACGAAA